rnacentral:rRNA from 1 species
GACAGAGGUGCCAAGCGUUAGGCGGAAUCACUGGGCUUAAAGCGUGUGUAGGCGGAAUGGUAAGUACCUUGUGAAAUCCCACGGCUCAACCGUGGAACUGCUGGGUAUACUGCUUUUCUUGAGCCACUUAGGGGCUGUCGGAACAAACGGUGGAGCGGUGAAAUGCGUAGAUAUCGUUUGGAACGCCAAUGGUGAAAACAGCUCGCUGGGGGUGUACUGACACUGAGACACGAAAGCCAGGGGAGCGAACGGG